AUUGCCAACACAGCUGCUAAAAAAGGCUGCCAAAGAGGAAGAAAAUGAAAGAGGUUGAGACUGCAGUCAGAGAAAAUAUUUUACACAACUUGGCACCAUCUGCCAUUCUCUUAAUCUUUGUUCAGCAAGGAGUGGAUUGAAUGUGGAUGUCGACAAUGACUCUGACAGCUAACUUUUUUGUUGAUAUAAUCAUUAAAACUUGCUGACCCUGCCUUACUAAAAACGCACAGAAGAGGGCUUCCAAGUUUUCCUCAUUUCCUUCUGCUGUCCUGAGCUGCUGGUAUCUCUAGCUUGUUUACAUUGGGAUUCUGUAUUCUUGUCAAGACUCAUAAGAAGGAAAGG
rnacentral:lncRNA from 1 species